CACUUCAUGCGUUCACCAAGCUGCAGGACCCAGCCUAACUCCUCCCAGUGAUGCAGCACUCAAAAUUCAAGAUGUGCAAAGAAAAUAGGCUGUAAAUACUGCAGUGGACCUCUUUCUUAAUGUUCAGUGUCCUUUGUCUUAAGAUUUGGUGCCAUAUGU
ensembl:snoRNA